rnacentral:tRNA from 1 species
GGAAAGUUGGUCUACUAAUGUGGAUGUGAGGUUGUCAGCCUUAAGGAGCUAUGUGUUAGCACUUUCUUGGUGCGU